rnacentral:lncRNA from 1 species
GCUUCCAGUCCAGCCUGGAAAAGCUGGAGAGCCACGGGGACCACAUGCUGUGGGAACACCUAGGGCAGGGCUUGGGGAGGCAAGAAAGAAACCGAGUCAUUCUGCCAGGCCUUGAGUAAUGAGGUCUUGAGGGACACACAGGCAUUUUCUAGCCUCGAAAGUCGAAGCACAACAUUCCGGGCAUGGCUGAGGACCUAAAUAGCAGAGUUGAUGUAUGUUUGGAGCCCCUCCAUGAGUCUUGCUUAAACUACAGUUGUAGGUGCGACCCAUCAUGGUUUCUGUAUGUGUUUUUCUAGCAAGACAAAUGCCGGGAACUGAUUGGCUUGUGUUUUAUCUCGCAUUGCCUUGGGAAAUGAGCCUACUGUGUGGUCUAAGAUACAGGAAAAGAAAUGAUGGGCUGACCUUACACCUCCUGGGUUCAAGUGAUUCUCCUGCCUCAACCUCCCGAGUAGCUGGGACUACAUAUGCAUGCCACUGAGAGGUGAAGCCAGCUGGACUUCCUGGGUUGAGUGGGGACUUGGAGAGCUUUUAUGUCUUACAAGAGAAUUGUAAAAGGCACCAAUCAGUGCUCUGUAAAAUGCACCAAUCAGCAGGAUCCUAAAAGUAGUCAAUCAGGGAGGAUUGAAAAAAGGGCACUCUGAUAGGACAAAAACGGAACAUGGAGGGGAAAAAUAAGGGAAUAAAAGCUGGUCACCCCAGCCAGCAGUGGUAACCCGUUCGGGUCCCCUUCCACACUGUGGAAGCUUUGUUCCUUCGCUCUUCACAAUAAACCUUGCUACUCCUCACUGUUUGGGUCCGUGCCAUCUUUAAGGGCUAUAGCACUCACCACAAAGGUCCGCGGCUUCUUUCUUAAAGUCAGUGAGACCACAAACCCACCAGAAGGAACCAACUCCGGACACAUCCUGGGGGCUCAUCUGGGAUAUCGCCAUGCAGAUCAAGGCCAUCAAGCUACAGAUGUUCCUACGAAUGGAACCCCAAAUGAGCUCAACUCACAACUUCUACCAAGAACCCCUGGACCAACCCACUGGCCCUUUGACUGGCCUAGAGAGUUCCCCUCUGGAGGACACUACAACUGCAGGGCCCCUUCUUCAUCCCUAUCCAGCAGAAAGUAGCUAGAGCAGUCAUCACCCAAUUCCCAACAGCAGUUGGGGUGUCCUGUUUAGAGGGGGGAUUGAGAGGUGAAGCCAGCUGGACUUCCUGGGUCAAGUGGGGGCUUGGAGAUCUUUUCUGUCUUAGAAGGAGAUUGUAAAAGUCACCAAUCAGUGCUCUGUAAAAAUGCACCAAUCAGUGCUCUGUAACUAGCAAGAGAAUUGAAAAAUGCACAAUCAGCGCUCUGUAAAAUGCACCAAACAUCAGGAUCCCAAAAGUAGCCAAUCUCAGGGAGGAUUGAAAAAAGGGCACUCUGACAGGACAAAAACAGAACAUAGGAGGGGACAAAUAAGGGAAUAAAAGCUGGCUACCCCAGCCAGCAGAGGCAACCUGCUUGCAUCCCCUUCCACACUGUGGAAGCUUUGUUCUUUCGCUCUUCACAAUAAACCUUGCUACUGCUCACUCUUUGGGCCCGUGCCACCUUUAAGAGCUGUAACACUCACUGCAAAGGUCUGCGGCUUCAUUCUUCAUUCACUGGAAGCAACCAACUUGGGACACACCACCAUGCCUGGUUAAUUUUUUGUAUUUUCAGUAGAGGUGGGGUUUCACUGUGUUAGCCAGGAUUGUCUUGAUCUCCUGACCUCAUGAUCUGCCUGCCUCUGCCUCCCAAAGUGCUGGGAUUACAGGCGUGAGCCGCUAUGCCCGGUGAACACAUACAUUUUCAACAGAAGAGCAAGAGAGCAUAGAACCCAGAAUAGCAGAGGCAUAUAGGCCCCGUUUUGCAGGAGUCAAAUAACUUAAUUCUUAGCACAAUCCUGUAAGAUGAAUUCUGUUAUAAUCCCACUCUCUAGAUAAAGAAUUCAAGGCACCAAGAGUUUAGUUCAUGAGCAGUAAGAGAUUUGGGCCCAAGUGGUUUUGUGUCAAAGCUUAUGCUUGGCAUAAUUUUUUGAUAGAGAGCCAGAUGGUAAAUAUUUUGGAAUAUUAGUGUUCAAAUAGUCUGUGUCACAACUAGUGCCUCUGCUGUUGUAACAUAAAAGCAGCCAUAGCCAAUGUAUAAAAGAAUAGCUGUCAACUUAAAUGCCCAUCAAUGAUAGAUUGGAUAAAGACGAUGUGGUACAUAUACACUAUGGCAUACUAUGCAGCCAUGAAAAACAAUGAGAUCAUAUCCUGUGCAGGAACAUGGAUGGAACUGGAGGUCCUUAUCCUUAGCAAACAAACACAAGAACAGAAAACCAAAUAUUGCAUGUUUUCACUUAUAAGCAGGAGCUAAAUGAUGAGAACACAUGGAUACAUAGAGGGGAACAGCACACACUUGGGCCUAUUGGAGGGUGGAGGGUGGGAGUGGGGAGAGGAUCAGGAAAAAUAACUAAUGGGUAGUAAGCUUAGUACCUGGGUGAUAAAAUAAUCUGUAUAACAAACCCCUAUGACACAUGUAUACCUAUGUAACAAAGUGGCACAUGUAACCCUGAACUUAAAAGUUAAGAAAAAAGAAUGGGUUAUGUAUGUGUUCUAAUAAAACUUUACUUGUAAAAACUGGUGAAGGCCAGAAUCUGGGUUGUCACAUGGGGCAGGAAGAGAUGAGGACUGAGGAAAAGAGGAAGAAGUCAAGACAGAGGAAUAAGGGAG